UUCCCCGCACCUUUUAUUCACGUUUUUUGGACUUCAAACAGAGUUUGGAGUAUUCGCGCUAGGAGCAUGGCAAGAGGAGGUUUUUGUCUCCUCCGUUUUGGGUUCAGAUAAUGGGAUCUUCCAUAAUCCUUCUAAUUUCUUCAACGUUCGUAAUUCCUUCUCAAAUUCUUCUCAUUUCUUCAUCAUCACUCUCUCUCUCAGUUAGAGUUUUCGCUCUUCGCUUUCUCUUCUUCGCACUAAUGGCCGCCACGCCUCCUUCCUUUUCCUCUCUCGCACCACCUGCGCCUCUCUCCUCCGCGAAUUGCAGUUUUUUCAUAAACAUAGUCGUCUCUGACUAUUAGGUUUUGAGAGAGAAAGAAAUAAAAUCAUCAGAGGUAGAGAGAAGGCAAAGAGAAAAGGGGAAAGCACUAUUCACAUUCAGAUCUGAGAGAACAAGCACCAGGGAACGAUGGAGGUGGAAACCAGAGAAAGAGGAAGUCACACACACUCUCAAAGCAACUGAAGCUACGACCAAGGCGAGAAGUCAGGAUUGAUGCUGAUAUAAAAGACGGGGGAAUGACAUUGGUUACAGCUUUAUCUCCACAUGCCAAUUGGCUUCAUGGAAAUGCGAAUUUGAAGCUUGAGGUCAGAGGUACAGUUGAUCAACCAAUACUUAAUGGACACGCAUCAUUCCACAGGGCAUCUAUUUCUUCACCAGUGCUACGAAAACCACUUACCAACUUUGGUGGAAAUGUUUACGUGCAAUCAAACAGGUUAUGCAUCACCUCACUGGAGAGUAGGGUAAGCAGAAAAGGAAAGCUUCUUGUAAAAGCGAAUCUGCCACUCAGUGCAAGUGAAGCAGCCCUAGAUUACAAGAUUGAAUUGAAGUGCGUACGGGCACAAAAAAUAUUAAGUGACGGCUAACAAGUCAACUCAGGUUGAAAAGCAGAUGGAGCAAGUGCAGAUUAAACCAAAUGUAGAAAUCUGUCUCAAUGAUUUGAAGCUUGUUCUUGGACCAGACUUGGAGAUAGUUUAUCCUUUGAUUCUUAAUUUCAGUACAAGUGGGCUUUAGAUCAGCUGUUCUACAAGCAUAACUUCAGCCGAGUAAUCAUCCUUGAAGGGGAAGAGAACUUGGGUCCGUGGAAGAAUAAAGUUGCACAAGUAGCUCCAGAACCAGGUCCCGAGGCUAAGGGUACUCUUGUCCUAGCAGCAAACAGGACCAAUAGGCCUGACAUUCUACGUAGAUUUCGGUGUUACCAAGGUGGUUGGGACAUUGAAAAUCGACACUAUUGGGCCGUAAGAACUACAAUGCUUCAUUUUCAUCGUGUUUUCAAAUGACUGAUGCUAAUUUAUUAUGUAUCUUCUCAUCUCAUUCCUGUAAUAUUUGACACUCUAGUAUGUUGUUCAUAGCAUAUCCAUAUAUAUUUCUUACAAUUUCACUUAGGUGUGUUUAAUGGGAAGUAAUCCUUGCUAAGAUCUGAUGGUCUCAAAAAUGAUAAUAGCUUGCAGUCAACUUGGGUGUUCAGAGGAGAUAAUCACCAUUGCUGUUGUUCUUUCCGUCCAAUCCAUCUGGAUCUCAAGGAGAGGGAUACAAAAGGGAUCUGAUGAAGCAAAAUUGAGAUUUGCUGCUGCCGAGGGUGACCAUGUAACGUUCCUUAAUGUAUACAAGGGGUUUCAUCAAUCUGGUAAAUCUUCACAGUGGUGUAACAAGAACUAUGUAAACUAUCAUGCCAUGAGAAAGGUUCUUGAAGUUAGAGAGCAACUCAAAAGAAUUACAAAGAGGAUAGGACUAGUCUUGAAAUCUUGUGAGAGUGAUAUGCAGGCCUAUACUACCAUGAGAUUAUGUUCUUCAAGCUUGCCACAUUAUCGUUUCUCCUUAUGGCAACCAUGUAAUUAUGAGGGUUUCGUUUUACACGGGUUUAAUAUUAGAUUAGAUAGUUUUAUGUACAAAUAAUGUAUUAAAUAUUAUUACACAAUUUAAUGUAUGAAAUGAAUUUCAUUUUGUUUGUUCAAU